UGCGGCCUACUCCGGUUGAUCCUGCCGGACCCGACCGCUAUCGGGGUGGGGCUAAGCCAUGCGAGCCGAACGCCUCCAGGCCACGGUGGGGGCGUGGCGCACGGCUGAGUAACAC
rnacentral:rRNA from 1 species